rnacentral:rRNA from 1 species
ACAAUGCGGAACAAUGUUUUGCAAUUGGAUUGAGAACAACGUACAAACCUUAUCGAUAACAAUUGGAGGGCAAGUCUGGUGCCAGCAGCCGCGGUAAUUCCAGCUCCAAUAGCGUAUAUUAACGUUGUUGCAGUUAAAAAGCUCGUAGUUGAAAUGUGGGAUGAAGUAUAUAAUGAAUUUCUAAUUCAAUUGUAUAUUGAUUCCCCUCUCCAAUUUAUUAUUAUGGGUAUUAAUUUAUUUGUAAUAAGAAUUGGUCAUUUACUGUGAGAAAAUUAGAGUGUUCAAAGCAGGCAUUUGCUUGAAUAGAUUAGCAUGGAAUAAUACUAAAAGGCUUUUAUGGUCGAUUUAAUUGGUUUGUUCAUAAAAGCAAGAUUAAAAGGAACAGUUGGGGGUAUUCAUAUUCAAUAGUUAGAGGUGAAAUUCUCGGAUUUAUGGAA